UGGGGGAUAUUGCACAAUGGGCGAAAGCCUGAUGCAGCGACGCCGCGUGGGGGAUGAAGGCUUUCGGGUUGUAAACCUCUUUCGCUAUCGAACAAGGCCCGCUUAGGGUGGGUUGAGGGUAGGUGGAGAAGAAGCGCCGGCUAACUACGUGCCAGCAGCCGCGGUAAUACGUAGGGCGCGAGCGUUGUCCGGAAUUAUUUGGCGUAAAGGGCUUGUAGGCGGCUUGUUGCGCCUGCUGUGAAAACGCGGGGCUUAACUUCGCGCGUGCAGUGGGUACGGGCAGGCUUGAGUGUGGUAGGGGUGACUGGAAUUCCAGGUGUAGCGGUGGAAUGCGCAGAUAUCUGGAGGAACACAGAUGGCGAAGGCAGGUCACUGGGCCAUUACUGACGCUGAGGAGCGAAAGCAUGGGUAGCGAACAGG
rnacentral:rRNA from 1 species